GACUGGCUACCUCAGUUGGUAGCGCGUGAGGCUCUUAAUCUCUGGCUCAUGGGUUUGAGCCCCAUGUCACUGG